ACAUUCUUACCACAUGGAAAAACAUUUCACUGGAGAAAUGGAAAGCAUUAUUUUGUAAAUGCAUUUAUUAACUCAAUAGCACAAACCAGUACAAUUGAGCACAUUGGGUUUCAGUUUGAUUAUACCACAUCCCAUGAACGCAUUGUUGGUGGUUUAAUUGUAGAUAAGAAAGAAGUACAACAGUUUCUGCGAGCAAGAGUGCAUCAUAAAGGCCAGCUGGAGCUCCAUGCAGAGGGGCUGCUUUGCCCGGGCAGGUUGGCCCAUGGUCUCUUUAGGAAGUACUCGAGGAUUUCAGCAUCGUCUCCCAUGACUGAGCCUGUGCAGGAGCAGGCUUUUUCUGUCCAUGCUCUGCCUUCUGUUGCAUGGAGGAAAACUGUUGGUUCCUUUAUCUUGCAUAUUAAAGGUGGAUUUUGUACCUCUUUCUCUCAGUGAAACAUCCCUGUGGCUAAUUGCAGUGACACUGAUAUUCGAAGGUUUCUAGAGCAGUUCAAUUUAAACAUUGUGACUUUGUGAGCCUGGCAUCGAGUGCUGGAAGGAGCACAUUUAUUGAAGACCUAAAACUAGUGGAGAUGUUGCUAUAUAUGCUGUGAGAGAGCUGUUAUGCUUCUUCUCAUUGACUGUAUUAUUUCACUCAUUAGAAUAAACUAUCAGCAAAUCUCCUGUUGUAUGUUCUU
rnacentral:lncRNA from 1 species